GCCGCGGGAAUCGAUUUUCCGGUUGAUCCUGCCGGAGGUCACUGCUAUCGGGGUUCGAUUAAGUCCAUGCGAGUUGAGAGGGUUAAGACCCUCGGCGGACUGCUCAGUAACACGUGGAUAACCUGCCCUAAGGUGGAGGAUAACCCCGGGAAACUGGGGAUAAUACUCCAUAGGUUAAAGGUACUGGAAUGUUCUUUAACCGAAAGUUCCGGCGCCUUAGGAUGGAUCUGCGGCCGAUUAGGUUGUUGUUGGGGUAGUGGCCCAACAAGCCUGUAAUCGGUACGGGUUGUGGGAGCAAGAGCCCGGAGAUGGAAUCUGAGACACGAUUCCAGGCCCUACGGGGCGCAGCAGGCGCGAAAACUUUACAAUGCAGGAAACUGUGAUAAGGGAACCCCGAGUGCCCGUAUAUGCGGGCUGUCCGGAUGUUUAAAACGCAUCCGAAGAAAGGGCCGGGCAAGACCGGUGCCAGCCGCCGCGGUAAUACCGGCGGCUCGAGUGGUGGCCACUUUUAUUGGGCUUAAAGCGUUCGUAGCUUGAAUAAUAAGUCUCUUGGGAAUCUGCAGGCUUAACCUGCAGGCGUUUAAGAGAAACUCUUGUUCUAGGAACCGGAAGAGUGAGAGUACUCCGGGG
rnacentral:rRNA from 1 species